rnacentral:rRNA from 1 species
GACGAGCGCUGGCGGCGUGCUUAACACAUGCAAGUCGAACGGGUCUGCCCUGUUUUUUGCGGGGUGGGUCAGUGGCGAACGGGUGAGUAACACGUGAGUAACCUGCCCCUCACUUCUGGAUAACCGCUUGAAAGGGUGGCUAAUACGGGGUGUUCUGGCUGUGCCGCAUGGUGUGGCUGGGAAAGAUUCACUUUUGUGGUGUUUUGGUGGGGGAUGGGCUCGCGGCCUAUCAGCUUGUUGGUGGGGUGAUGGCCUGCCAAGGCUUUGACGGGUAGCCGGCCUGAGAGGGUGGGCGGUCACACUGGGACUGAGAUACGGCCCAGACUCCUGCGGGAGGCAGCAGUGGGGGGUAUUGCACAAUGGGCGGAAGCCUGAUGCAGCGACGUCGCGUGAGGGAUGGAGGCCUUCGGGUUGUGAACCUCUUUCGCCGGUGAAGAAGGUCCUGCUCUUUGUGGUGGGGUUGACGGUAGCCGGGUUAUGAAGCGCCGGCUAACUACGUG